UUUGCGUGAAAGCUGAGCCACGCUUACUGCACAUUUUAGUGUCAGCUUAAUGGCUUUGGGCCAUGGCUACUUCGGCGGCAACCUGAACCUGGGAAACUCUCGGCCAACUCACCUUUCUUCAGCAAACUGGAGGCAUGCGGAUUGCGGCUCUUUGUGCUCAGCGACGAACAGUUCCACCGAUGCCAUUGAAACUGUUGGGUGAAUGCAGGCAAAAUAGGGGAAUUUUAAUGGUAUUCGACUGCUAGCAACCGCAGUUGGCAAUAAAUACCCCGAAAAAGUGAACCCAACAAUUCGAAAACCGUAAUUAACCUUGAGUGGCUGGCACAAACCGCAGAAGAGACCCCAAAAACAAGACUAAACUAAUUAAAUUUCGUUUUGUUUUCGUUUCUCUAGAUGUGAAAUUAAAUUUGCCUUUUUUUAAGCUG
ensembl:ncRNA asRNA:CR44063 antisense RNA:CR44063